CCAUUUCCAAAAUAGUACAAGGGAGUUCCCGAACUGCCUUCGUUUGUAUACUGUGGUGGAAGCUCGUGAUACGGAAAAAUCGGAUUCGGAGUUAUAUACUGCGGCAAUGCGUAACCGUUCGCUGGACCAGCUAUCACAGAGUUCAUGGAAAACCCAAUGACGAUAAUAUCGAAUUUGCCUAUAUGUGAAUAAAUUUGAUUCAAAAGAAACACAGAUAGUAAGAAAAGGUCUGCAUUCCACGCAGAUGAAGUCACGAGAACGUCGGGCAUUACUAACUACAUUAUCGGUACACAUGGGCACGAUUGUGCAACUUCAACGACGACAGUGCAAGGUCAUCAAUUUUAUGCGUCUUUUUUCCGUGAUGUUUUUUGGACAGCAAUUCUGGACGAAACAAUUUUGUGAAGUGCAAAUGAUUGAAAAGAUAAAUUACGCAGUAAAAUAAAUCCAUCUAAGAUAAAGGCA